rnacentral:lncRNA from 1 species
AUGGUCAUGGUCAUCGUUUUCACCAUUGUCAUCGUCUUCGUUGUCAUGGUCAUGGUGGUUUUCACCAUUGUCAUCGUCUUCGUUGUCAUGAUCAUGGUCAUGGUCAUUUUUGUCAUCAUGGUGGUGGUGGUCAUCCUCGUCAUCGUUGUCGUUAUCGUUGUCGUUUGCCAUAGUCAUGGUCAUCGUUUUCAGCAUUGUCAUCGUCUUCGUUGUCAUGGUCAUGGUGGUUUUCACCAUUGUCAUCGUCUUCGUUGUCAUGAUCAUGGUCAUGGUCAUUUUUGUCAUUGUCGUGGUGGUGCUCAUCCUCAUCAUCGUUGUCGUUAUCAUUGUCGUCGUCGUGGUCGUUUGCCAUGGUCAUGCUCAUUUUCGUCAUCGUUGUGGUGGUGGUCAUCGUCGUCAUCGUCGUCGUUAUCAUUGUUGUCAUGGUCAUUUGUCAUGGUCAUGGUCAUCAUUGUUUUCACCAUUAUCAUCAUCUCCAUUGUCAUGGUCAUGGUCAUUUGUCAUGGUGAUGGUCAUGGUCAUGGUCAUUUUCGUCAUCGUGGUGGUGGUCAUCGUCGUCAUCGUUGUCGUUAUCGUUGUCGUCAUGGUGGUCAUUUGUCAUGGUCAUGGUCAUUUUCACCAUCGUCAUGGUGGUGGUGGUCAUGGUCAUCGUCGUUGUCGUCAUUUGUCAUGGUCAUGGUCAUUUUCACCAUCAUCAUCAUCAUCAUCGUCAUCGUGGUCGUCAUCCUCGUCAUCGUUGUCGUUACCGUUGUCGUCAUGGUGGUCAUUUGUCAUGGUCAUGGUCAUUUUCACCAUCGUCAUCAUCUUCAUCAUCGUUGUCAUGGUCAUUUGUCACGGUCACGGUCAUGGUCACGGUCAUGGUCAUGGUCAAGGUCAUGGUCAUGGUCAUGGUUUUCACCAUCAUCAUCAUCUCCAUUGCAUGGUCACGGUCAUGGUCAUUUUCGUCAUCGUCAAUUUGGGGAUUUGGGGAUUCGGGGAUUUGGGGAUUUGGGGAUUUGGGAAUUCAGGAAUUCGGGGAUUUGGGGAUUUGAGAAUUUGGGGAUUCAGGGAUUUGGGGAUUUGGGAAUUUGGGAAUUCAGGGAUUUGGGGAUUUGGGGGAUUUGGGGAUUCAGGGAUUUGGGAAUUUAG